CUUCAGCAUGGAAGUAGAUUAUCAGGGCCUGGUGCAGGGUAACCGCACGCCCCCUGGUGUUGAGCACCAGCGUUUGUGCGGUCACAUACCAAGACCCUGAAUCAGCUUAUGCAGAUCACAAGAACUAGACGCUAGGAACAAAACAGACCUCCCAGGAACUGAAUAGGGAGGCUCUGCAGCAGGAAUGUAUCAGAAAACAAGGCAAGACUAGGAGAGGCA